CGGCUACUCAUACGACAUGGAGCAAGUUACUGCUGAUACCUACCUGCCGCCAAAGAACCCACCCAACCGCCCACGGAGAUCCACUGGAACAGGGAACCAGUCUAUUCAUAUAAUUACCGUUCACUAGUGAAGGGCACCUGCAGAAGACUAUGCGCAGCCACAAGCCCACAAGGCCUAGUCUUGCCGUCGUGGCCCGACCACAUGAAAAUGAUGAUGAUAACGAGAAGCUGGAGUUGGAGUUGAAGCACACGGGCCUCCUUAAUGAUCUUUAUGGCUGGUCGUCAUUUUCAAAAUGAAUAUGGACAGCGUCUUAAUUGCCGUUGUUGCCUUUAUCAUAGAGACAAAUGUACAAGUUUGUUUGUGCUUGGCGUGUGCAUACACAUUUUUCUUAUUUUACAAAAAAAAAUGUUUGAUAUUUUCAUUGGACACGGCAAUACAAGCAAUCGUUCUUGGGCAUAUUGUGAUGCCAAUACCGUAA